rnacentral:rRNA from 1 species
CUAAGCCAUGCGAGUCAAAUGUUCUUCGUGAACAUGGCGUACUGCUCAGUAACACGUGGAUAACCUGCCCUUAGGACUGGCAUAACCCCGGGAAACUGGGGAUAAUUCCGGAUAGUUCAUGGUAGCUGGAAUGCUCCAUGAUCGAAAGCUAUUGCGCCUAAGGAUGGGUCUGCGGUCUAUCAGGUAGUAGUGGGUGUAAUGUACCUACUAGCCGACGACGGAUACGGGUUGUGGGAGCAAGAGCCCGGAGAUGGAUUCUGAGACAUGAAUCCAGGCCCUACGGGGCGCAGCAGGCGCGAAAACUUUACAAUGCGGGAAACCGCGAUAAGGGGACACCGAGUGCCAGCAUCUUAUGUUGGCUGUCCGCAUGUAUAAAUCACAUGUGUUAGCAAGGGCCGGGCAAGACCGGUGCCAGCCGCCGCGGUAACACCGGCGGCCCGAGUGGUGGCCACUAUUAUUGGGUCUAUAGGGCCCGUAGCCGGUUUGGUCAGUCUUCCGGGAAAUCUGACGGCUUAACCGUUAGGCUUUCGGGGGAUACUACCAGGCUUGGGACCGGGAGAGGUAAGAGGUACUACGGGGGUAGGAGUGAAAUCUUGUAAUCCUCGUGGGACCACCAGUGGCGAAGGCGUCUUACCAGAACGGGUCCGACGGUGAGGGACGAAAGCUGGGGGCACGAACCGGAUUAGAUACCCGGGUAGUCCCAGCCGUAAACUAUGCUCGCUAGGUGUCAGGGACGGUGCGACCGUUUCUGGUGCCGCAGGGAAGCCGUGAAGCGAGCCACCUGGGAAGUACGGUCGCAAGGCUGAAACUUAAAGGAAUUGGCGGGGGAGCACUACAACGGGUGGAGCCUGCGGUUUAAUUGGACUCAACGCCGGAAAACUCACCGGGGGCGACAGCAAUAUGUAGGUCAAGCUAAGACUUCAC